ensembl:rRNA 5S_rRNA 5S ribosomal RNA
GUCUACAGCCCUACCACCCUGAACGUGCCGGAUCUCAUCUGAUCUCAGAAGCUAAGCAGGGUCAGGCCUGGUUAGUACUUUGGUGGGAGAGAAGCAAUGUAACAGAGGGCU